rnacentral:rRNA from 1 species
UACGGGGGGGGCAAGCGUUGUUCGGAAUUACUGGGCGUAAAGGGCUCGUAGGCGGCCCACUAAGUCCGACGUGAAAUCCCCAGGCUUAACUUGGGAACUGCGUCGGAUACUGGUGGGCUUGAAUCCGGGAGAGGGAUGCGGAAUUCCAGGUGUAGCGGUGAAAUGCGUAGAUAUCAGGAGGAACACCUGUGGCGAAAGCGGCGCACUGGACCACAACUGACGCUGAGGCGCGAAAGCUAGGGGAGCAAACAGG